UGGAGCACGGGGGCCGGCUGUGCGGCUGCGGCCUAGCGGGGCAUCGAGCGGCACAUUGAGCUUGGCAUUUGGCCUGCUCUUCCAUACAAUAAACAUCCAGAUGCUUUCCAGGAGUUGGUUUCAUCCCGAAACCAAAGAGCUACCCCUUGUAUUCCUGGUCCUUCUCCAAGCUGACUUGACACAGCCUUUCCUUCUCACUUACCUGCAAGAGCAGCCCAGCUCUGCUAGUCCAAACUCCCACAGCUGUACUGGGAAGGCAGGUGCAAUCUGAUAUGGUUUGGCGGGGGAAAUACACCUUUUCAGACGUGGCGCAAGAAACAGGAACCCACUCUUUAUAUUCUGACAUAUUCUCCUUUCUUCGAAUACAGGGCACAUGAUUCAUGAAA